rnacentral:rRNA from 1 species
UACGUAGGGUGCAAGCGUUGUCCGGAAUUAUUGGGCGUAAAGAGCUCGUAGGCGGUCUGUCGCGUCGGCUGUGAAAUCCCGGAGCUCAACUCCGGGUCUGCAGUCGAUACGGGCAAACUGGAGUACUGCAGGGGAGACUGGAAUUCCUGGUGUAGCGGUGAAAUGCGUAGAUAUCAGGAGGAACACCGGUGGUGUAGACGGCUCUCGGGACCGCCACUGACGCUGAGACACGAAAGCGUGGGUAGCAAACAGG